UAGUGGCGCAGUGGUAGCGCAACUGAUUUGUAAUCAGUAGGUCGGGGGUUCAAAUCCUCCCU
rnacentral:tRNA from 1 species